rnacentral:miRNA from 1 species
UAACUCUACGUCCUCCUCCACA